GAGUAAACUCAGGCCAGAAAAUGAAAGACUUCUGGCAAUCGGAAUGUGAAACUCUGCAACAGCCUUCCUUAAAAAAGAAACAGAGAUGGGAAACUGUCCCAGCAAUUGCCAGGACUUGUUUACAUUGGAGAUUAGGAAAUAUUCUCUGAAAGCACUGUCAGGUUGCAACCAAGAAAGCUUGUCAGGCACUGGAGCAGGCUGCCCAGAUGCUGUAUUUUGGCUUUCAUCCAGGAGUGUUUAAUUGGUUUGCAGAUGUGAUUUUCACUACUGUAUGAAGGGAAGCAUCAUUCCCAGAGGUGUCACUGGCUCCCUUCUGAGGCAGAGAAGCAGCACAGCACUCCAGCUCCCACAGGGUUCAGAUCCUGGCUACUGCUCCCUACCAGAAGCAAGUACCAGACAGUUAUGCUUGAUGAAGGCUGGAGAGGCCAUCCCCAUGGCCAAUUUUCUAUUCCAUACACCAGAGUUCGGACAAAAAACACUAAAGCUGCACGCAAACUUGAAUUUCAAAUAAUAAUGAGUGUGGAAAAAAUCCGUGAAAAGGGACGUGUUAAUUAAAAGUUAAAUUACAUGUUCAGAAAAGACCAUGACAUCAAAUUUUCCACUGUCCCUCUAAUUAACCAUUUUGUCUUCAACUGAAAAGAAAAAUGUAUUUUUCAUAGCAACUCCUUUAUAUUAGACAUUUGCCAGAAGAGGAACUAGCUCAGGCUCAUCAGUGUCAACACACUAAUGGAUUCAAAUGCUCCUGACAUAGUAGAACUAUGAGAUUUGAAGAUUUGCAGAAUCUCAGCCCCAUGGAACUGCCAAACAGAGAUUGGGAUUAUGUUCAUUGCCUAGACAUUUUCUCUUGGUAAAUCUUUAAAAAUGUGAGAAAACUAGAAUUCCAUCUUCAUUCUGUACUAUAUGAAAGACAUUUUGGAAACCACUACCAUCAACUUCCACAAACUUCUCGUAAACAAUUUUACAAUCCUAGUGAAAGCAAUCCAUUUAUUGUGUUUUCUGAGUGUCUGAUCUAAUGUAGAUUAUAUGAUAUCUAAAGCACAUGCAU